UACGUAGGGUGCAAGCGUUAUCCGGAAUUAUUGGGCGUAAAGAGCUCGUAGGCGGUUUGUCGCGUCUGCUGUGAAAACCCGAGGCUCAACCUCGGGCCUGCAGUGGGUACGGGCAGACUAGAGUGCGGUAGGGGAGAUUGGAAUUCCUGGUGUAGCGGUGGAAUGCGCAGAUAUCAGGAGGAACACCGAUGGCGAAGGCAGAUCUCUGGGCCGUAACUGACGCUGAGGAGCGAAAGCGUGGGGAUCAAACAGG
rnacentral:rRNA from 1 species